CAGUCCUAACAAAUGUACCACUCUGGUGUCCGGAUGGAUAGCAAGGCUGCCACAGUGGAAGGGAGCUCUCUUCUCGCCUAUGAGACACCUGCCCAGAAGAGCUACCUACUCCAGGAGUGGGCAAGACAGGAACUUUGGUGAAGGGUCUUUUCCAGAUGGCAGAUAGCAUUCAGCAUGCUAAUCCAGUUGAUUCUUCUAUUCUUACCACUUUAUGGAAAAAAAAAUCAAGGCUCCCAAAGGUCAGACGACGCCACUAGCACCUCGCAGCUGAUGGCCACAGAAGAAGUGGACUCCAGGAUUGGCUACCAUCUCCAAAGUCCGCAU